rnacentral:lncRNA from 1 species
CCAAAUUCUGGGUCUCUGAGUGGGAACUGGUUCCCAUGUUGUGGAUGGAGAUUGUCAUGAGAAGAGUCCACGGGGAAGUCUGAAGCCUGGGUGACUCCUGUUGGAGGCAGACAGAGAUGAGGGCAGGGAAGCCAACCUCUGCAGCCCGGAUGACGGAAAGAAAGUGCGGAGCAUGUAUUUGGACCACCCAGAUGCCCUGUGAGAUACAAAGAUUGCCUGGGGCCUGCUUGGGAACAAGGGCAGACCCCAAACACGGAGGAAAAUUGAAGAUCGGGAUAACUUCCCUUCGUGAGGGAACCGAGGAGGCCGAGUGUCUUUUCAAUGAGUCGACUGUAGGCAGAGGGAUUUAUUUAUAAUAUUAUUAUUUGGUAGAAAAGAACUUACUAUGGCCAGAUGUAAAAAGUCUUUUUAUUUUUUCUUGAUAAGUUAAAGAGAUUAAGAAAAAUCAGGCCGAUUUUGACAGAGAAUAGUGUGUAAACGAGAGGUGUUAUCAGGGAGAUCUGGCACCAGCUCCAUUUUGUUAUGGUGGAAAAUAUCAGUAUUAUUUACUAAGAAGAUUAGGGUGGAUUGGAAGAGAGGCCGGUUGUUGUGUGCAGAUGGAGAUAAGAUACGGAUUUUACCUUCUCUGCUGAGCCCAACGCAGUGCACACAGCGCUGUUAUCUCAGGCUUGGCAAGCAGGGGAUAUUAAGAUGUACGCUGUAAUUACCAGUGGCAGGAACAAAUUUCAUAGCGACUAUUUUAAACCCUAAUAAAAUGCCGGCCUUUAAUUAUACAGCUUUGAAAUAUUUU